rnacentral:lncRNA from 1 species
AUAUAUGAUGAUUACAUUUAUUGUGUGGAAUUGGCAACUCUUUUUAGUUUUAUUUCUUCUUGUGCUUCUUAUGUUCUUUGACCCCCUUCCUUGUUUAUGCUCAGUCAAUUUUUGGUUACUUAUAUUUACCAUAUAUAGUGUAGUCUUGAUUAUAACAACAAUAAAUAGUGUGUACAACUCUAAUUCAAAUCAUAAGCAGAAAUAUGUUGCCUCCAUCAGAGCAAUAUUAUUUUUGUUUAGUUUCUGACUUCUUGACCAUAAAGGAAAUUUCUGGACCACAAGGGCCAUGUCUUAAAUCUUUAUAUUUCUAGUAUCUAGCUGUGCUCUACCAAUAAGAGUCCCACAGUCUAACUAGGCACAAGAACUUUAAAGCAGAAAGACAUAUGAUCUAUUAACAAGUGAAGUGUCACAGAAUUGGAGAUUUGGGGAAAACUUCAUAGAACAGGUAUUGAGAAGUCUUCUUAGAGAAAAUAAUGUUUGAAUGUGAUCUUUUUUAGAAAAAGUAUUUUAAUUUUUCCCCAGUUAAAAGAGAAGGGAAUGCAUUCUAGACAGACAGGAAAAUAUGGAAAACUCAUGCAUACAAAAUGUUGACAGGUAGCUCUUCAGAAACUAAAUUAAAAUGGGAUUGUUUUUAGUAUAGAUUUCUGCUUGGCUGCUAUUUCUUUGGAUCUAAACUAGGCAUUCUGUGGGCCACAACUUUGUUCCCACAUUCCCACUGCCAUCACCAACACAUUGCACAAAGGAAAUAAGGGUCAUAAUUUUUAAUAUUUCACAAGUAAUUGGUAGAUUUCUGGGAUUUGUGCUCGAUUUAUCAGUUGUUCCUGAUGUUACAAUUAAAACCAUAAAAAUAUGAGAAUGAGGAGGAUGGUCAACUUGAUUAUGUGAUUCAUACCAGAUGACAGUCCCCUCAAGAUGACACUGAUUUCUUCUGCAUUUUGCUACAUGCUGUAUUAGUCGGUCUUCCUGUCACUGGGAAACAAUACUUGACUCCCACAGGUUACAAAGAAGAGGUUUAAUGGUUUCAGGGGAUUCAGUAGAUGGUGAUAUAGGUCCAAAGAAUAAACAUCAUGGUGAAAGAGUGUGACAGAGCAAAGAUGAUCAGUUCAUGAAAAUCAUCAGGCAGAGCAGAGAACAUCAACAGAGAAGAAAGGAAGCAAUGUCCAUAUAUAGUGCCCAGGGUCAUGCCUCCAUGACCCACAUGGAUGCACCAAAAGUUGUGCUUUACUAAUCUGUUAGGCAUUUCUCAAUCCAAUCAAGCUUAUGUCAGAAUUACUGAUCACAAAUGUUAAUUUUAAUUCAUGUUUUCUACUUGUUAGGGUUCAGAUAAGCAAACCAGUUCCAUAUUAACCAUAACAAAUGUGUGCUCAGUUAAAAUAAAAAGACUUUUGGGUAUUAUUGUCUUUUGGAGUAAUCUUUGGAGUUUUAGUUGGCCAAUCAGUGAAGAUCUCAAUAAAAAAUUUUGGCAAGUAAAAUAUUAUCCAUUAAAACAACAUUAACUAAUAUUGUAAUUCAGGUAUUAAAGUUCCACAAGUAUAGCUCUUUGAGGGUUGAAAUUAUUCUUUGUAAGAUUGACUAGCCACCACUGACAUAGGUGGAUGUGUUUCACUUGAUGUGUCUGUAAACUUGAUGUGUCUGCCAACCUGUGCUAGAAUUCCAAAGGCAGUGUGAAUAUUUCCAAACAUUAACUACGCACUUUUUAAAAGUAGGUUUUAUAUAUUGUCAAAUGUUCAUUUUGGAGAUUUUCUUCUUCUUUUUAAUGUUGGCAUUAAGAAAGAGUGCAUACAUCAUAUAGUUACAUUUAUGUUCUUUUAAAAGAAGAAAUUCUGAGCAAUGCAAUAGUAAGCAUAUGGCUACACAAAGAUUAGAAAAGCUGUGGCCAUCAGGAAUAAAUAUUGGUAAUAACACUGAUGGAAUUUCACACAUACAGUUUAUUGUGAGAAAAGAAAGAUUCACACAGAACUUAGAUAAGGAAAUAGGCUUGCUUUUAAUGAAACUAUAAAUUAAGUAAUUUUUUAACUAAAUGAUGGCCUGUGAAAUUUGGCUUCCUGUUCUACUUGAAACACUUUAGAUCAGAUGGAUUUUUUCCUACCGUUCUUAUCAGUACUUAGUCUAGUGUUACUGGUUAAGUUUCUAUAGCAAUCCAACAUUUUAAAUCAAUAAAAUAUCUCUGAAUAGUGAAAUGUAUCACUGCUAUAAACACUUCUAUGAUGUAAAAAAUGCGGAAACGACAUGUCUGGAUAUAAAGUAAAAUAGUUUUAGAUGUGUUGUUUGGUUGGUUUUUGUUUGUUUGCUUUUAGUUUUAGUUUAGUUUAGUUUUGUUUUGAGCUUUGUUUUCAGCCUAGUAAGAAUAAAGGAAAAGAUGAAAUCUUUAGUUUCUGAAGCUAUGGAAAACACCUCCUGGUCUUACUUUUCUGUCUUUAACACAUAGAUAUUUAAAGAAGCAUUACAAGAUUUUUGAACAGUUUCUGUUAUUUACAGUUUUUGAAUAGGAACCAAAUCAGACUUUCACUGAGAAAUAGAGUUGAAUUUGCCACUAAAGUGGAGCUCAGAGAAGAAUUUUUUAAAAUCUUAACAGUUAUCUUUCUUUGAGUAUUUCAUAAGAAUAUUGGAAAAAGUACUUUGAAAGGUACCUACUAUGAUCCUGUAUCUAAUAUAGAAACUAUGAGUAUAAGAAAGGAGAGGAUUUAAAAUUCAAUUAAAUGUGACAGUUACUGUAAACACCCCUCUCUCUCUCUCUCCCUCUCUCUCUCCCUCUUUCUCCACCCCCCCCCCCGUCUCUCUCUCUCCACCAAAACAUGUAUACACAUUUCAGGAAAAGAAAAACUUGUGUAAAUAUAUUAAUACUAAAUUUAUUGAGACAUCAUGAGAGUAAUAUAUUACCUUUGGCCUCUACAAUUACAAGAGGUGCUCAAAGCAGUGGCCAUUGGCUUCCAGACAUUUAUUGUUUUGGCGAACUGCUGCUUGCAUAACUUUGGUCCAUUGAGAUUAUUGUACAUGCGUUUUCAUUUUUUUUUUCUCUAAAGGCUGGCUAUAUAGUAGUUUUUCUGUAGUAUAUGCCAUCCUCUAGGUGCCCCCAUACAAGGGUAACACUGUAUGUUGAAAAAAAAUCAUACUACUUUUCUUUUCCUGAACUGUUAAUACAUUUUUGGCAGUAUAUAUAUAUUAUAUGUGUGUGUGUGUGUUUGUGUUCUAAAUUGAUGUUAACUCUAUUUAGGAAAAUAAGAAAGCACUCAGCUGAAUAUUAUUGUCAUAUAAUAGACAAAAUAAAUUUGAACUGGUAAGAUGAUAGUGAUGAAGUUGAAAAAUUUGGUCUUGAUGUAGUUAGUAAAGGAAAACUACAAAUGCAAAUGACACUGAAGGAAGGACUAUUUUAAUAUUCUGAAUGAGUAGCCACAAUAGAUAUUGAGGAGAUACACAACAGAACAUGGUUUCAGUAUUAGGCUUAAUUAAAGCAAGAUUUGGGCAUGUACUCUAAGGAAUUUUUAGAUACCAUUUUUUCUUUUACCCAUGCAUUAAUGCUGCAUUACAAUAAGCAAAAAUUGGGCAUCUAUAAAUCUUUCCUUUCUUUCAACAUUGACAUAUCUUCAGUAGCCUCCUAAUUUGAGAUCAUUUGAAUUUUUGGAGCAUGGAUAUCUCUGGAAUAAACAGUUCUUCUGAGGUAGCUCAGGUUCAUAGCAAAGGAAGUUUUAUGAAAUCAUAAUACAGAGUAAUCAAAACAUUUUUAUCAUAUAGGACUUUUUGCCUAAAUUAAAAGGUCACUGUUAAUUAAAUUGGUUAUUUGAAACUUCUCUCCUUUCUCAUCUUUCCUCCCCUACCUGCCAGUUAUUUCAUACUGAAUUCCCAUUAUAAGAGUAAAAAUGAUCAAAGUAACCUCUGCACAUUUUACUGUGAAAAAUAUUUUGAGGAAUUCUAUUGGUACGAGCCAAUGGAAGAUGACGGUUUGCUUAUUAAAACAAGUUUUGAAUGUCCUGUCCUAUUGAUCAUGUGUAAAUAGUAUAAAAAAAAUCUAAUGUAUGGUAGAGAAUUUAUAUUUUCUUUCCUUUUCACCUUUGAGCUUUUAUUUUCUAUUUUAUUUAAAAAUUAAAUUUGCCUUUUUUUUCCUUUGCCAGUGGUGUCAGCUUUCUUGGAUUUUAAUUGAUGAGAGAAAUACAGGUUCCCUGAGACCCAGAGUAAAACUCACUUACUUUCUUCUUGAAAUCAUGAUACUGGCUGUUAUUCUAACAAAACAAAAAUAUUCAGGAAGAGAUUUGGCAGAAAUUGUGUCAAUGAAUGAUGAGCUGGGGUAAUUGAAUUGGUAUUUCAAGAAUACCAGUGUAACUCAUGUGUAAGAAAACUUUAAUUUGCCACCCUAAGAAAGUUUUUAGCUGAAAAUCUCAGGGACACAAUCUAUUUCAUAGACAAGUCUUUUCAGUCCUCAAUAAUUAUCCUUUCUUAUGAACUCAGUGCUCUCAGAAUAUUCUCCUCCUCCUUUGGUCCUGUCUUUCCUCUUGUUUAAGGAUGAUUUUUGAUCGCUUAAUUUCUUUUAUGUUGACUUUUUUUGGAAAAUACUUUAAGAAACAUUGAUGGAUUAUUUCUGUCUGGUAAGCAUGAUGUAUUUUACAUGCUGUAUUGGUCAGAGUUCUUCAGAGAAACAUAACCAAUUUUAUGUACACAUAUUUGGAAAGAAUUUUGUAUAAGGAAUUGACUCAUAUGAUUAUAGAGGCUGGAGGCCAGGAGAGCCAAUGAUAAAUUUCUAAUUUUAACUUAGUUCAAAGGCUAGAGUAUUGAUGGUGUUCCCAGUCUGAAAGCUUGAAGGCUUGAAGGCUUAAGAUCCAGGAAGAACUAAUGCUUUAAUUUCAGUCUGAAUGCAGAAAAAUCUUAUAUUCCAACUUAAAGUUUGUAAAGCAGGAGAAUUUUCAUCUUUCUCACCAAAGAGUCAGCCUUUUUAUUCUAUUUAUGCAUUCAUUGAUCAGAGAAGGCCCACAAACAUAAGGGAGGGUAAUUCUCACUAAUUGGCUACUGAUUCCAAUGUUGGUCUCAUCCAGAACACUGUCACUGACACAACCAGCAUACUAUUUGACCAAAUGUCUGAGCACCCUGUGGCCAGUCAAGUUGACAUACAAAAUUAGCCAUCACACAUAUAUUACCUAAUUUAAUCCUAACCAAAGCACAACUCAAAGCUCUGUGAAAUAGUAUUAAUGAUUAUUAGCAAAUUUAGUGGUUAAGAAUACAGUAUAUGAUGAGAUUGCUUUUAUUGAAAUUCUCCUCUUACUACUUACUUUUUAACAAUAGGGAAGUUACUUAACCUAAUCUUUCUCAAAUAAUACUGCAUACAGUCAAUUAUCAGAAUCUGAAGGUUAUAGGUUUGACUCCCACAAGUAUCACAAUCCAUGAAUCUCAAGUGUCUUAUAUAUAAAAUGACAUAGUAUUUCCAUGUAAACCACACACAUCUACUUAUAUAUGAUAAAUCAUCUUUUGAUUACUUAUAAUACCUACUGUUAUAUAAAUAUGUAAAUAUUUAAAACUAUAUAAGUAGAUACUAUAUUGGAUCGUUUAUAAAAUAGUAACAAAAUAUUCUGUAUAUAUUAUUGCUGAUCUGUGGUAGGUUGAAUUCAUUGACGUAGAAGCCCAGAUACAGAGUGUCCACUGGUAAGUUAUUUUGAUAAUUAAAUGAAAUAAUCUUUGUACAAUGCUUAGCCCUGAUAAGUGGAAGUUAGCAUAGUACUCAGUAAAGUUUAGCUUUAAAUACACACGAAAAUAAAUAUUCAUAGUGAUUAAGAGUCUUGCCCAAGGUCAUAUAGCCAGUAAGUAGUAAAAUUAGGAUUUGAAAUUAUGCUGUCAACCUCCAAAAUUAUUCAUUUUAUUAUUUGUCUCUGUUAAUCUCUACAGGGAAGAAGUACAAUGCAAUGGCUAAGGGCUUUUGACUCCAUUGUUUAGAAUCUUGACUCUCUCACUUUGACGAAAGGCUUUAAGCAAGUUACUUAAUUUCUCACUACUUUUGUUUUCUCAUCUUUAAAACAGAAAUAAAACAGUACCUUUCCCACCAUAACACAGAAUCAAAUAAUUUUUAGGAAUAUCUUUUUCUAUGAACUUUAAAUGAUAGAUUUUCACCACAGGAAGUUUCUUCAUUUACCCUGAAAUUAUGUGGGUUGGUACUGUCAUAGGGAAAAGAUUUAUGAAAUGAAGGAAAUAUUGAAAAUAUAUUAACAUAUUCUUAAUAUUACAAGUGACUGUUUCACAAUGCAUUUCUUCAGAAAGGUUUUUGUGUGUGUGUGUGAGGGUAAAAAUAAUGGCUUUCAUUCAGGAAUAAUUGUAUAACAUGAACUUGAAACCAAUGGACAGGAAAUGGAACCAAGUCUAGGAGGAAUCCUUGAUAAAAUGACAGCAUUUAGACAUCUUUUUUGUGAUUCUCUUUUUCCUUUUAAUAGAAGCACUGUAAGGUCCACCACCUAAGACCAAAUAUUUCCCUCUAUUAUAUGACAAGAAGACUCAGAAUUUUAAAAUGUUGUAUCUGAAUUCUCAUCUGUCAACCAAGAGCAGCUGAAAGUCACGAGCCUUGGAGAGCUUUCAUACUUAUGUAUUUGUUUUUAGACAAAUGUGUUUGUUUGAAGGUCUAAAAACCAUGGAAAUAGGCACCAUGGAAAUGCAUAGUUGAGAGUAGAAGCUCUAGCAGUAUUGACUCAAUCUUUGAUCUUUCUGUGUGAUGAAUUAAAUGCCACAUGCUUCAGUUGGCUGCGUAUUGGGUCUUUCAGCAUUGUUCACAGUAAAUACAAUUAUGUAGGAAGGAUAAGAAACUGAAUUUUUAAAGAAAUUAAUGUGAGAUUGGUCGUCAUUUGGCUGGUGCUUAUGGAAAGACAACUCCAGAGAAAAUUGUGGAAAAUCAUUCUUCCCUAUAAAUUUUUAUACCCAUAAAAUAAGAUUAAAAUUAAUAUCAAGACCAGCCUUCAAGGGGAAACAUAAAAUCCAUAUGUAAUUUGAAGGAAGUAUAAUACUAAAUACUAUAUAUAAGUAUAAUAAUAUAAUACUGUUACUUUCUUACUUCAAAGUGACCAAAAAAACUGUAAGCAUUUUACCCCCAACACUUGUUCACUCCUCGGUGCCUUUUAAAAUUUAACUCCUGUAGAGAGUUAGAAACCUGUCUUUUCUGAGUUCUUCUAUGUAUUGCCUGCAGCCUAUCUGCCUCCUACAAUUUGGAGUCUUAACAGUAGGCAACAGUUGUGGAUAUCAUAUUAAAACUAUCAGAAUCAGAUGAAAAUUUUAUGGUAACCAGAAGAUGGAAAUGUCCUCUCUUUCAUAAGAUAACAGUUACUUAUUGUAUCCUUUUUGUUUUCAUUGAAUUACAAGAAUUAUAAGAAUUACUUUUUUGACAAUUGACAUGAACAACGUUAUUCAAAGGAAACAUGCUUAAGAAAUAGAGCAGGAGGGAAAUUGUAAUUGAGUCUGCAAACCUUUUUUACCUUGGCUAAAUAAAUAAGAAAUGAUAACAGGCACAAUAUAAUAAAAAUGAGAAAUACAGGUUCAAGCAUGAUGUUUUAUUUAACUCCAUUUAAUCUUAUAGGGUGGAAUUUGAUAGAGACCAUGUCAGUGGACAUGUUUAUAAAGAUUGUCAGUGGAAUACCUGGGGCUAUUUUAUUAUUGUUAUGAGUAUGUACAAACAGAAAAGGAAUGCUAAAUAAUUCUGAAUGUAAUAGUGAUUUUAAAUAUCAAAUUCAGUUUUCCAAACUCACAGAGCAUCAGGUGGAAGCAGAUCUGUCAUUUGUAUCUAAUUCCUUAUUCUAAUAUACUAGAAAAUCAAAUAUAUCAGUAUCAUGUUGCCUUUGCCAACAGGUGUUUAGAAUGUUUUCCCAGCAUUGCUGAACUUCCAGCUAGAAGAUAUAUGUUUCAUAUUUAGAGGAAGGAUAAGACUUACGUUGAGAGUCUAGCAAUGCUUCAGCAUCGAAAUUAAGGAUCAUUAGCCUCUUUCAUUUUAUUAUAAAAGAGAGGCUUCUAUAACAUGUCUGGAGAAUCAGUUUGCAUUCAGAAAUAUUCACAAAAGCUGUGCUUUGUGUCUUUUAACCAGAGAAAAUGAACUGAGGUUAUUUUAAAAUCCUUAAACAUCUCAAGUGAAUUAUCAGAAUAAAAUAAAUCCAACUAUGUGUACUCCUCAACAAAAUAUAUUUUAGUGAGUUAUAUUCUGAGAGCAUUUGCAUAGUGUACAGUGGUAGCACAUUUUACAUUUCAACUGUGUAACCACAAUUGAGGUGAUCGACCUUUGUGGCAGGACUGUUCUAAUUAGCCCAUAUCUGAUAGGUAGUUUUUAAGGCCUUAUUUAUCUCCUAACUUUUUGUGCACUUAUUUAUUUCAUUUUUAUUGAAAUGGUAUCAUUUUAGUCGCUUUUCUCAUUUCUGGGACAAAAUACCUGACUCACAGUUUAAGGGAGGAAAGGUUUAUUUUGACUCAUGUUUCAGUCCACAGUAGGCUGGCUCCAAAACAGCUAGGCAUAGUGGAAGGGCCUGGUAGAGGAGAGCUGCCUAUGGCUUAGUGUCCAGGAAUGAGAGAGAGAGAGAGAGAGAGAGAGAGAGAGAGAGAGAGAGAGAGAGAGAGAGAGAGAGAGAGUGUCAGUCAAAGGAGGAGCUGAGAAGGGAGAUAUAACUUUCUAGGUCAUGCUUAUAAUGACUUACCUCUUUUAAACGGGCCCCAAAUCCUGACAGUCAGCUGUAAUGCCUCUAUGAUCCAGUCACCUUACAAUGGCCCUACCUAUGAUUGCAUGAGGCUUUAGGGGGACAUCUAGAUAUAAACCAUAACAUUGUGUCCCUGGGUCCCAAAAAUCUCAUGAAAAUCUCUUUAUGCAAAAUGCAUUUCGUCCACCUGUAAGAUUUGGCAAAAUCCUAGCAGUUUUGGCAUUGUUGAAAAGAUGAUGGCAGGAUGGAAGGGAGGGAAAGGGAAUGGGGAAAAAAGAAGAACCAAGAUAUAUCAUGUACCAGUACAAAUUCUCAGUGUUGAAUGUGAUCAUAAUCUAGACCUGAAUGUACCAAUAAACUUAAUAAAAAAAUUGUUAAAGAAAAUCAAUUUAGAAAUAAUACAUUUUUAAUGGUAGAAAAGAUUUGAGUAUACACUUGACAAAAAUAUAUAAAGGUGGCAUGUAAAAACAUGAAAAGAUGCUGAACAUCAUUAGCCAUUACAGAAAUGAAAAUUAAAGCCAUAAGAUCCAAGCAUACAUCUAUUAGAAUGGAUAAAAUUAAGAAUUACCCUACCAAGUAGUGGUGAGGAUGUAAGAAACUGGUACUCUCAUACACUGCUGGCAAAAAAGUAGAAUGGCACAGACUCUUUGAUAAUAGUCUGAUGGCUUUUAAAAAUCUAAACAUACAUCUACUGUGUGAUUCAGCAGUUUCACUCCUAGGUAUUUACAUAAGAGAAAUGAAAAUACAUGUCUUUAUUAACCUUGUCCGCAUGUGUUCUUAAUAGCUUUUCUUGUAUUAGCUAAAAAUUUUAAACAACUUAAAUGGCCAUCCAGAGUUUGAUGAAUUAAAAAACUUACAGCAUGUCUAUACAAUGGACUGUGUAAUUUACUAG